rnacentral:rRNA from 1 species
GGUUAAAAAGCUCGUAGUUGGAUCUCGGCAGGCAGGGGGCGGUUCGCUAUUUAGCGACUACUGCCCCAUUUGCCUGUGUGAUUGGCGGAGGUUUCGGGGUGCUCUUUACUGAGUGUCCCGGGGCGCCGUCAGGUUUACUUUGAAAAAAUUAGAGUGCUCAAAGCAGGCUUUUCACGCUUGAAUAUUCGUGCAUGGAAUAAUGGAAUAGGAACUCGUUUCUAUUUUGUUGGUUUUCGGAAAUCGAGUUAAUGAUUAAUAGGGACAAUUGGGGGCAUUAGUAUUCAGACGACAGAGGUGAAAUUCUUGGACCGUCUGAAGACUAACUACUGCGAAAGCAUUUGCCAAGAGUGUUUUCCAUUAAUCAAGAACGAAAGUUAGAGGUUCGAAGGCGAUCAGAUACCGCCCUAGUUCUAACCAUAAACCGAUGCCAGCUAGCGAUCCGCUGAGUUUUUCUUUGUAGGCUCUGCGGGAAGCUUUCGGGAAACCAAAGCUUUUGGGUUCCGGGGGAAGUAUGGUUGC